rnacentral:lncRNA from 1 species
GCACUGCAAUGAAGGGUUUGGUCGAACAAAUCAACCACAGAUUCCAUUUAGCGCGAUUCUGUCCCAAGCAGAUUCAAUCUGACAAAGAGUACUCGAAGAAUUUAACAAAAUAGUAGAGGAUUGCAAUUCUUCUUCUUGUAGUUUUCUAAUACAAAAUAUCCAACGUUUGGCACCAGUCACUACUAAAGAAAAGAAGUUUAACUCUGCAAGAACUAGCAUCCCAUUAAGAAAGGGAGGGUCUCGGCACUCCAAAUAAGUUCCAGCCUCAUGAUCCUGUACACUAGACAUGCAUAAUGGAGUCCACUAUAGCUAUGGCUAUUUCCUCUCUUCCUACUCUUUGAAUGGAUAAAAACAAAUUCUUUAUC